rnacentral:rRNA from 1 species
GAUGAACGCUGGCGGCGUGCCUAAUACAUGCAAGUCGAGCGAACGGACGAGAAGCUUGCUUCUCUGAUGUUAGCGGCGGACGGGUGAGUAACACGUGGAUAACCUACCUAUAAGACUGGGAUAACUUCGGGAAACCGGAGCUAAUACCGGAAAAUAUUUUGAACCGCAUGGUUCAAAAGUGAAAGACGGUCUUGCUUUCACUUAUAGGUGGAUCCGCGCUGCAUUAGCUAGUUGGUAAGGUAACGGCUUACCAAGGCAACGAUGCAUAGCCGACCUGAGAGGGUGAUCGGCCACACUGGAACUGAGACACGGUCCAGACUCCUACGGGAGGCAGCAGUAGGGAAUCUUCCGCAAUGGGCGAAAGCCUGACGGAGCAACGCCGCGUGAGUGAUGAAGGUCUUCGGAUCGUAAAACUCUGUUAUUAGGGAAGAACAUAUGUGUAAGUAACUGUGCACAUCUUGACGGUACCUAAUCAGAAAGCCACGGCUAACUACGUG